CAGAGCUGUCUCUAGGGGUGUGCAGGGUCUGGGGCAUAUAAGCCUGUGUGGGGCCUGGGGUGGGUGGCAAGCAAC